UACGUAGGGUCCGAGCGUUGUCCGGAAUUACUGGGCGUAAAGAGCUCGUAGGUGGUUUGUCGCGUUGUUCGUGAAAACUCACAGCUUAACUGUGGGCGUGCGGGCGAUACGGGCAGACUGGAGUACUGCAGGGGAGACUGGAAUUCCUGGUGUAGCGGUGGAAUGCGCAGAUAUCAGGAGGAACACCGGUGGCGAAGGCGGGUCUCUGGGCAGUAACUGACGCUGAGGAGCGAAAGCGUGGGGAGCGAAUGGG
rnacentral:rRNA from 1 species